CAGUUCUGGAAACUCUGGCUGCCCUCCCGGGCCUUUUAGUUCCACACUAAUAAGUCUGAUUUAGGCUUUGCAUUACAGAGCAGCAACCAAGUGGUAUUGCCAGCAAGGGCAAAGAGCUGAUGUCCGUGGUCUUUUCUGAGCAAGCAAAUGAAUGUGAUAUUUUCUCCGCCUCCUCUCUUCUCACUGAGAUGAUUCUUGGAGAUAAUCCACUUGGUUAUCCAUGGAUGUGAACAUAAUUUGGAAGCAGCAGUCAUGCCAGAUGGCCAGCUCAAGCUGGGAGCCCUGAGUUGAUUCCUGAGCCAAAUUUCUCAUUCCUUGGAGGAGCAGAGUGGAGGGUGUGUAUGGCUGGGGAAGGCCAAGCUUUUCAUUUCUGGAAAAGAAGUGAAGACAGGGAGAAGCCGGCAUGAAUGGCCACUGUCCUUGCCAAAUAUGCAUGGUAUGACUUAGGUGAAUGACUGAGAAAACUUUCUGAGCACCAGUGUGGACAGAUCCUGCAACAGGAUGCCCCGGGCAGCUGUGAAACACCCUUUCCUGGAGGUCAGGGCCACCUGGGUGGUUCUGACUCUUCUGCUUACCUCAGCCAGCCCAGACAACCGGAGUGACCUCUCAAGGGAACUUCAUUUCUCAGUGUCAGAGAGAACAACAACCCCCACCCGUAUCUCUGGACUUGCAUCAAUCUCCAGAAGGUGGGAAAGGAAGAAGGGGACUGCAGUCUGGAUCUACACAUGGGUUCUCUAAAUAGUGAGACAAAGGCUUGGGUGCAGAUCCACAAUCUCAGAAGGACCGCAGAAGGGCUGCCUACAGAGCAGCACGUUAAUCCACAGCCUUGUCUACGCUCAGAGGAUAAUGGCAAGGGGUCGACUAAGAAAAGAGAGUGACUGCACCAGUUUGCAUUCCCAUCAACCAACACUGGCCAACAUUGCAACUCCCCGAGGCUCACAAAUGGGAUGCCAUAUGGAUUAGAUCCAAAGGCUAGAUUACUUGGUAAUCAUUAUUUCCUCAAUCAUUUUGGUUGGAAGAGACUGAGUGUAAACUACGUGGUGUUCCACUGGGAAAAUAAACAGGGGCCUGUCCCACCUGCAGUUCAACCAGCAUAUCUGAAGGAACCCUCUCUUCUCCUCCUACACCUCCUGUACAUCCCCCAACAGAGCCAUCCGCCAGGCUGGGAAGCUGGGUGAUGAUUUUCACCUGAAAACAAAGAAGUUUGAUAGGAGUGAGGACAGAAAGGAGAAGUAACCAGAGCCAACCAGCUGACCCAUUGCAUUUCUUUCCUCGGCUCAGCCUAC